UACGAAGGGGCUAGCGUUGCUCGGAAUUACUGGGCGUAAAGCGCACGUAGGCGGCUUCUUAAGUCGGUGGUGAAAUCCUGGAGCUCAACUCCAGAACUGCCUUCGAUACUGAAGAUCUUGAGUUCGGGAGAGGUGAGUGGAACUGCGAGUGUAGAGGUGAAAUUCGUAGAUAUUCGCAAGAACACCAGUGGCGAAGGCGGCUCACUGGCCCGAUACUGACGCUGAGGCACGAAAGCGUGGGGAGCAAACAGG
rnacentral:rRNA from 1 species